GCACCCUUUCACAAAAUAUAGAAAAAGAACUCAUACAAAGUAAAGUAUUCGACCUUAAGCAUUAAAUGUCAAAAAGAUUACAUCUUAUUUGCAAGGGAAAAAAGUGUAUUGUAAGCAUGAUUAUUUCCAGUCCCCUUGAACUUAUUCAUCACCUCUAAGCGUAAACGCAACGAAAGGUUCUGCAUGCUCAUCAGAUUCAAGCCAAUGGAUAAAAUUCUAUUUGGCUAACUUUUGAUGCCACCAUUCAAAUUUUCCCUCACCACUCUUACUACAGGUGACGAGUCGGGGGCUCACCUCAAUUCGUCAAUCGACUUGAUCACCAAAUCUGCAUUGUUCUUGGACUUCAUAAUUAGCUCAGCAUUGGGCCUGUCAUUGUAAUCUAUCCUCCAUUUAGCAACAUCAGGGGACUUUCCUGUAGAUAUAUGUCUCUUCAGGACACGUUGCAUUGCUUUCUCAAGAUCAACAUCGACGAACCAUUUCUCAUCAAACAUGGAGGAUACCUCCUUCCAAGCACCAUCUCUAAGAAGCAGAUAAUUACCUUCAACUAUCACUAUUUUGUGUUGAAGGUUCACAAAGAUAUCAUCUUCUACAGGAUCUCCUACACCAUGGUCAAAAGACGGACAGUACACUGAUCCCUGAUCUUUAAGAGUCUUGAGGCAUUCUAGCAGUAAAUUGGGGUCAAACGUCCAUGGAGCGCCCCUUCUUGCGUGUGCUUCCUUUGGAUCCUCCAUUGCAUCAAGCUGAUGACGAUAAAGGUGGAAUCCAUCCAUUGGAAGAACAAUAGCAACUUCUGGAGGCUCAACUUGAGAAUCAAAGGAACGAGACUUUUGGGGCCAUAACUUAUUGACUCUCUUAACUACUUCAGAUGCAACAGUGCUCUUUCCAGCACCGGGAGGGCCAGCAAGACCAACAAUAUGCUUGAAAUUAGGGCUUGAUGCUGCUGCUGCAGUUGGAACAAGGUGUUCAGCCAAAGCAUCAUAUAUGUCAUCCAUGCACCCAGCUUCUAUGACAGGAAUCUCUCUCUCUCGGCUACAUGAAACCUGCAACAGACUCCAUUUCCGAGUACGAAAACCAGCUUGACAGAGUGAAGUUCCAGUUGCAUUCUUCGUGGACAAAGGAGACGCAUAACACUUAAUCCACACAGGAAAGUCUUCUCUUUUGCUCAACAAUGUCUCUGAAAAUGGAUAUCGGAG
rnacentral:misc_RNA from 1 species